rnacentral:rRNA from 1 species
GAUGAACGCUGGCGGCGUGCUUAACACAUGCAAGUCGAACGAAGCAUUUAGGACAGAUUACUUCGGUUUGAAGUUCUUUAUGACUGAGUGGCGGACGGGUGAGUAACGCGUGGGUAACCUGCCUUGUACUGGGGGAUAGCAGCUGGAAACGGCUGGUAAUACCGCAUAAGCGCACAAUGUUGCAUGACAUGGUGUGAAAAACUCCGGUGGUAUAAGAUGGACCCGCGUCUGAUUAGCUAGUUGGUGAGAUAACAGCCCACCAAGGCGACGAUCAGUAGCCGGCGGGGGAGGGGGACCGGCAACAUUGGGAGAGGGACCAGGCCCAGACUCCUGGGGGAGUGAGGAGGGGGGAAAAUUGGACAAGGAGGGAAACGCGGAUGCGGCGCGGCCGGGUGAGUGAAGAAGUAAUUGGGUAUGUAAGGCUCUAUCAGCAGGGAGGGUGGGGAGGGAACCUGAAAAAAAGGCCCGGGUAAAAAAGGU